rnacentral:rRNA from 1 species
UUUAUAUACAACUUUCAGCAACGGAUCUCUUGGCUCUCGCAUCGAUGAAGAACGCAGCGAAAUGCGAUAAGUAAUGUGAAUUGCAGAAUUCAGUGAAUCAUCGAAUCUUUGAACGCACCUUGCGCUCCUUGGUAUUCCGAGGAGCAUGCCUGUUUGAGUCUCAU